rnacentral:rRNA from 1 species
GACGAACGCUGGCGGCGUGCUUAACACAUGCAAGUCUACGAGAACGAGGUAGCAAUAUCUUUAUUAAAGUGGCGCACGGGUGAGUAACACGUAAGUAACCUACCUUUAGAUUUGGAAUAACUCAGAGAAAUCUGGGCUAAUACCGAAUGAUGCAGCGGCACCACAUGGUGAUGUUGUUAAAGUCUAUAUGACGUCUAAAGAUGGGCUUGCGUCUGAUUAGCUAGUUGGUGAGGUAACAGCUCACCAAGGCUACGAUCAGUAGCUGGUCUGAGAGGAUGAUCAGCCACACUGGAACUGAGACACGGUCCAGACUCCUACGGGAGGCAGCAGUGAGGAAUAUUGGGCAAUGCCCGGAAGGGUGACCCAGCAACGCCGCGUGGAGGAUGAAUGCCGUAAGGUUGUAAACUCCUGUUAGAGGGGAAGA